rnacentral:rRNA from 1 species
GAUGAACGCUAGCGGCAGGCUUAAUACAUGCAAGUCGAGGGACAGCACAGGUAGCAAUACUGGGUGGUAACCGGCAAACGGGUGCGGAACACGUACACAACCUUCCUUUAAGUGUGGGAUAGCCCAGAGAAAUUUGGAUUAAUACCCCGUAAUAUAGUUGAAUGGCAUCAUUUGAUUAUUAUAGCUACGGCGCUUAAUGAUGGGUGUGCGGCUGAUUAGAUAGUUGGCGGGGUAACGGCCCACCAAGUCUACGAUCAGUAGCUGAUGUGAGAGCAUGAUCAGCCACACGGGCACUGAGAAACGGGCCCGACUCCUACGGGAGGCAGCAGUAAGGAAUAUUGGUCAAUGGACGCAAGUCUGAACCAGCCAUGCCGCGUGAAGGAUUAAGGUCCUCUGGAUUGUAAACUUCUUUUAUUUGGGACGAAAAAGGGCCUUUCUAGGUCAACUGACGGUACCAGAUGAAUAAGCACCGGCUAACUCCGUGCCAGCCGCCGCGGUAAUAC